AGGACGAACGCUGGCGGCGUGCUUCAUACAUGCAAGUCGAACGAGAAUCUGGCUUCGGUCAGAGGAAAGUGGCGGACGGGUGAGUAAAAUGUAGAGAAUCUGCCCUAGAGAGUGGGACAACAGAGGGAAACUUCUGCUAAUACCGCAUAUGCGCGUAGUUGAGAUACUAUUCGUGAAAACUCCGGUGCUCUGGGAUGAGUCUGCAUCUGAUUAGCUAGUAGGCGGUGUAAUGGACCACCUAGGCGACGAUCAGUAGCUGGUUUGAGAGGAUGAUCAGCCACAAUGGGACUGAGACACGGCCCAUACUCCUACGGGAGGCAGCAGUAGGGAAUUUUGCGCAAUGGGGGAAACCCUGAACCGCAGCAACGCCGCGUGACUGAAGAAGCCCUUCGGGGUGUAAAGAUCUGUCAGUGGGGACGAAACUUGACGGUACCCACAGAGGAAGCAUCGGCUAACUCCGUGCCAGCCGCAGC
rnacentral:rRNA from 1 species